AGGGUUUGAUUAUGGCUCAGGACGAACGCUGGCGGCGUGCUUAACACAUGCAAGUCGAACGAGAAUCGUAUGACGGAGAUUUCGGUCAACUGAAUACGAGGACAGUGGCGGACGGGUGAGUAACGCGUGAGGAACCUGCCUUUCAGAGGGGGACAACAGUUGGAAACGACUGCUAAUACCGCAUGAUGCAUCGAGGUCGCAUGGCCUUGAUGUCAAAGAUUUAUCGCUGAAAGAUGGCCUCGCGUCUGAUUAGCUAGUUGGUGAGGUAACGGCCCACCAAGGCGACGAUCAGUAGCCGGACUGAGAGGUUGAACGGCCACAUUGGGACUGAGAUACGGCCCAG
rnacentral:rRNA from 1 species